GACGAACGCUGGCGGCGUGCUUAACACAUGCAAGUCGAACGGUAAGGCCCUGCUUUUGUGGGGUGCUCGAGUGUCGAACGGGUGAGUAACACGUGAGUAACCUGCCCUUUACUUUGGGAUAACUUCAUGAAACUGUGGCUAAUACCGUAUAUGAGCUCCUGCUGCAUGGUGGGGUUUGUAAAGUUUCGGCGGUUGGGGAUGGACUCGCGGCUUAUCAGCUUGUUGGUGGGGUAGUGGCUUACCAAGGCUUUGACGGGUAGCCGGCCUGAGAGGGUGACCGGCCACACUGGGACUGAGAUACGGCCCAGACUCCUACGGGAGGCAGCAGUGGGGAAUAUUGCACAAUGGGCGGAAGCCUGAUGCAGCAACGCCGCGUGAGGGAUGACGGCCUUCGGGUUGUAAACCGCUUUCGCCUGGGAAGAAGCGUGAGUGACGGUAAUGGGUAAAGAAGCACCGGCUAACUACGUG
rnacentral:rRNA from 1 species